rnacentral:rRNA from 1 species
AAAUAUUUCGGGCACUCUAGAGAUGCGCUCUUGACGGGAUUGGAGAGCUUGCUUUCCAUGAGAGUGGCGCACGGAUGCGUAACACGUAUGUAACCUACCUUGUUCAGGGGGAUAGCCUCUCGAAAGAGAGAUUAAGACCGCAUAAUAUCAUAUAGUAGCAUUACUUAAUGAUCAAAUAUUUAUAGGAACAAGAUGGGCAUGCGGAACAUUAGCUAGUUGGUAAGGUAAAGGCUUACCAAGGCUACGAUGUUUAGGGGAUCUGAGAGGAUGACCCCCCACACUGGUACUGAGACACGGACCAGACUCCUACGGGAGGCAGCAGUAAGGAAUAUUGGUCAAUGGGCGCAAGCCUGAACCAGCCAUGCCGCGUGCAGGAAGACGGCCCUACGGGUUGUAAACUGCUUUUGUACCGGAAUAAACCUUGAUACGUGUAUCGAGCUGAAUGUACGGUAAGAAUAAGGAUCGGCUAACUCCGUGCCAGCAGCCGCGGUAAUACGGAGGAUCCAAGCGUUAUCCGGAUUUAUUGGGUUUAAAGGGUGCGUAGGUGGCCUGUUAAGUCAGGGGUGAAAGACGGUAGCUUAACUAUCGCAGUGCCUUUGAUACUGACGGGCUUGAAUACACUAGAGGUAGGCGGAAUGUGACAA